UGCGUAGGCGGACUAAUAAGUCAGUGGUGAAAUCUCUCGGCUCAACCGGGAAACUGCCAUUGAUACUGUUAGUCUUGAGUUCGGUUGAGGUAGGCGGAAUGUGUAAUGUAGCGGUGGAAUGCUUAGAUAUUACACAGAACACCAAUUGCGUAGGCAGCUUACUAGACCGACACUGACGCUGAGGCACGAAAGCGUGGGGAGCGAACAGGAUUAGAUACCCUGGUAGUC
rnacentral:rRNA from 1 species